rnacentral:rRNA from 1 species
GUCUAUGGUCAUACCACCCUGAACGCGCCAGAUCUCGUCUGAUCUUGGAAGCUAAGCAGGGUCGGGCCUGGUUAGUACUUGGAUGGGAGACCAUUCAGUUUUUAAAUGAAAUUUUCUAUUGUCU